rnacentral:rRNA from 1 species
UCUUCGGAUGCUGACGAGUGGCGAACGGGUGAGUAAUACAUCGGAACGUGCCCGAUCGGGGGGGAUAACGAGGCGAAAGCUUUGCUAAUACCGCAUACGAUCUACGGAUGAAAGCGGGGGAUCUUCGGACCUCGCGCGGACGGAGCGGCCGAUGGCAGAUUAGGUAGUUGGUGGGAUAAAAGCUUACCAAGCCGACGAUCUGUAGCUGGUCUGAGAGGAUGAUCAGCCACACUGGGACUGAGACACGGCCCAGACUCCUACGGGAGGCAGCAGUGGGGAAUUUUGGACAAUGGGCGAAAGCCUGAUCCAGCCAUGCCGCGUGCAGGAUGAAGGCCUUCGGGUUGUAAACUGCUUUUGUACGGAACGAAAAGCCUCUUUCUAAUAAAGAGGGGUCAUGACGGUACCGUAAGAAUAAGCACCGGCUAACUACGUGCCAGCAGCCGCGGUAAUACGUAGGGUGCAAGCGUUAAUCGGAAUUACUGGGCGUAAAGCGUGCGCAGGCGGUUUUGUAAGACAGAGGUGAAAUCCCCGGGCUCAACCUGGGAACUGCCUUUGUGACUGCAAGGCUGGAGUGCGGCAGAGGGGGAUGGAAUUCCGCGUGUAGCAGUGAAAUGCGUAGAUAUGCGGAGGAACACCGAUGGCGAAGGC